GCUUGUCUCAAAGAUUAAGCCAUGCAUGUCUAAGUAUAAACAACUUUAUACUGUAAAACUGCGAACGGCUCAUUAUAUCAGCAAUAAUUUAUUUGAUGGUUUCUUACCCCAUGGAUAACUGUGGUAAUUCUAGAGCUAAUACAUGCGUAAAGUCCCGACUCUUUCUGGGGAGUCAUGAUAACUGCGCGGAUCGCAUGGCCUUGCGCCGGCGACGCUUCAUUCAAAUUUCUGCCCUAUCAACUUUCGAUGGUAAGAUAGAGGCUUACCAUGGUGUUAACGGGUAACGGGGAAUUGGGGUUCGAUUCCGGAGAGGGAGCCUGAGAAAUGGCUACCACUUCCAAGGAAGGCAGCAGG
rnacentral:rRNA from 1 species